rnacentral:rRNA from 1 species
AGAGUUUGAUCAUGGCUCAGAUUGAACGCUGGCGGAAUGCUUUACACAUGCAAGUCGAGCGGCCGCGCGGGGGCAACCCUGGCGGCGAGCGGCGAACGGGUGAGUAACAUAUCGGAACGUACCCCGUCGUGGGGGAUAACACAGCGAAAGCUGUGCUAAUACCGCAUACGACCUGAGGGUGAAAGCGGGGGAUCGCAAGACCUCGCGCGAUGGGAGCGGCCGAUAUCGGAUUAGCUUGUUGGUGAGGUAAAAGGCUCACCAAGGCGACGAUCCGUAGCUGGUCUGAGAGGACGACCAGCCACACUGGAACUGAGACACGGUCCAGACUCCUACGGGAGGCAGCAGUGGGGAAUUUUGGACAAUGGGGGCAACCCCGAUCCAGCCAUGCCGCGUGCGGGAAGAAGGCCUUCGGGUUGUAAACCGCUUUUGUCAGGGAAGAAACGCUCCAGGCUAAUACCCUGGGGUAAUGACGGUACCUGAAGAAUAAGCACCGGCUAACUACGUG